rnacentral:rRNA from 1 species
AGUGAACGCUGGCGGUAGGCCUAACACAUGCAAGUCGAACGGAAGCACAGUAAGAGCUUGCUCUUACGGGUGGCGAGUGGCGGACGGGUGAGGAAUACAUCGGAAUCUACUUUUUCGUGGGGGAUAACGUAGGGAAACUUACGCUAAUACAGCAUACGUCCUACGGGUGAAAGCAGGGGAUCUUCGGACCUUGCGUGAUAGAAUGAGCCGAUGUCGGAUUAGCUAGUUGGCGGGGUAAAGGCCCACCAAGGCGACGAUCCGUAGCUGGUCUGAGAGGAUGAUCGGCCACACUGGAACUGAGACACGGUCCAGACCCCGACGGGAGGCAGCAGUGGGGAAUAUGGGACAAUGGGCGCAAGCCGGAUCCAGCCAUACCGCGGGGGUGAAGAAGGCCUUCGGGUUGGAAAGCCCUUUUGUUGGGAAAGAAAAGCAGCAGGUUAAUACCCCGCUGUUCUGACGGUACCCAAAGAAGAAGCACCGGCUAACUUCGUG